GAAAAAAAAAAAAAAAAAAAAAAAGCAAAACAGAAGUUGCCAUCUCAUCCUUUGCUCUAGUUGCCUCAUUUUACCUUCUGAAAUGAUGGAGGAAGUUCUGCUGAGGAUGGGGUCAGGGUAACAGCAGACUUCUGAAUAACUCUGCACCCCCAGAAACCUGCAAAGGACACAGGCCCUCUUGGUGGUCUCCUCCUGGAUGCCUUGCUUUCUCCUGGAAGAGUCCUCCCUUCCACCCCGGAUAUCACUGUGAACCUGAUUCCCCAGGAUCAACCAUCUGAGCAGAUACCUUGGAAUGUCCCCAGAUUUCAGAGCCUCGGACCAGCAGCAACACACUCUGAAGUAGGUCUCAGAAGACAAAAAGCUGAAAUCAACUCAUGCUUCCUGCUACACAGAAUCCACUGAGAGGAAAAGGAAACUUCACCGAAACUUCAGAAAGCUACAGAAAUGACAUCCAUUUUCACAAUCCCAGAAGGAAAGAUGCAUCUGAAGGGAAUAAAAACAGAGCAAUGGAAGAGUAUUUGUUAAAAUAAAUGGCUUUGACAGGG
ensembl:lncRNA LINC02608 long intergenic non-protein coding RNA 2608